rnacentral:rRNA from 1 species
CCUACGGGUGGCAGCAGUGAGGAAUAUUGGUCAAUGGGCGGAAGCCUGAACCAGCCAAGUAGCGUGAGGGAUGACGGCCCUACGGGUUGUAAACCGCUUUUGCACGGGGAUAAAACCCUCCACUUGUGGCGGUCUGCAGGUACCCUGCGAAUAAGGGCCGGCUAAUUCCGUGCCAGCAGCCGCGGUAAUACGGAGGGCCCGAGCGUUAUCCGGUUUUAUUGGGGUUAAAGGGGGCGUAGGCGGGCGUUACAGUCAGCGGGAAAAUCGCGGGGCUCAACCGCGCCCCGCAGUUGAAACUGGACGCAUUGAGUUCACAACAGGCAGGCGGAAUUCGUGGUGUAGCGGUGAAAUGCAUAGAUAUCACGAGGAACCCCGAUUGCGAAGGCAGCCUGCCGGGGUGCGACUGACGCUGAGGCUCGAAGGUGCGGGUAUCAAACAGGAUUAGAUACCCGAGUAGUC